CGGCUGAGAACAGUGACACUGGAGUGUGCGUCCACGAGAGGACUCCAUGUUUUUCUUUCAGUCUAUGAAUGAAUAUAACGUCGCCCGGUUGGAAUAUUAUCGCUAUUUUACGAGGAAAAUAGCAUAAAAAUUGAUUUUAAACAGCGUUUGACAUGCUUCUAAGUACGGUAAUGGAAUAUUUUACAUUUUUUGGUCACGAAAUGCGCCCGUGCGUCACCCUUCGGAUAGUUACCUGAACGCACGAACAAAACGGAGCUAUUUCAAUAUAACUAUGGAUUAUUUCGAACCAAAACAACAUUUGUUGUUGAAGUAGAAGUCCUGGGAGUGCAUUCUGACGAAGAACAGCAAAGAGAGAUUUCUUUCUUCCUGUCCACGUGAUGGACGGAGAACCCCGCUGGAUAAAUGGACCCAGACAAUAUAUCCUGAGUCUGACUAGGGGCCCACUCCUUCUACCUCUUCUCCAGUGUCAACGUUUUGAUGUAGCCGCCGGAAUAGAGCUGCCUCGUGAAAUUCAAACAAAGGAACCAGGCCAGGGAAGUCACAUUUCUAAUUGAUUUCUGGGGCUUUAUUGGCAUGGAUGGAAAACAUAUGUUUACAUUGCCAAAGCAAGUGCAAUAGAUAAAAAAACAAAAGAGAAAUAAACAAUAAAAAAUGAACAGCAUACACUACACUCACAAAAGUUCCAAAAGAAUAAUGUCAUUUCAAAUGUCAUAUUAUGUUUAUAUACAGUGUUGUAACAAUGUGCAAAUAGGAAAAUAAAUAAACAUAAAUAUAUGUCUCUA
rnacentral:lncRNA from 1 species